AAUUUGAAUUUGUGCUGCUGAUGCUUGAGGAUCUGCUUUGAGGCAUUGGUCUUCGGCUGGAGCUAAUUGGCCUCUUUGAUAUCCCACACCUAUCACUUAGGCGAGGAUAACUACUUCUAUUCUUGUCCCAGACAUUAUGUGCAACUCUGUUUCUACGUUCCCUGGUGUAUGCAUUUUCUGGUUUUGCAAUGUCUUUAAUGGAGGAAAAUAAGGAAGCUGUAGCCAGACAUUGGAAGGACUUCGAUCUUCCAUUAUAGAACUCUGAUAUGCCUCUCCUGAUAGGCAAAGCGUCUUCUAAGGCAUCAAUGUUAUCGAGUUUACCCUUGUACGCGCUCUGUACUUCGUUCUCUUCCUUGCAAUCCUCGCUGUCUGAGUCUGAUGAUUCACUCCCCCACAGAUCACUGUUCUUUCCAAUAGCCGACGUCGUUGAAGACGUUGACGAGCUAAAUUCCUCCUGUUCCUCAGCCGGCGACUCAAAAAACCAAGACAUAGUGAAUUGUGGGAU
rnacentral:misc_RNA from 1 species